rnacentral:tRNA from 1 species
GGAGGGAUGGCAGAGCGGUUUAAUGCAACAGUCUUGAAAACUGUCGUGGCGCAAGUCACCCUGAGUUCGAAUCUCAGUCCCUCCGCCA